rnacentral:rRNA from 1 species
CAUUAGUGAAUUCAAAUUUCUUCCUUCGGGGAGUGCAGCAUGGGCCCUCGUGCCCAUGUUGUGGAAUCACAUCCUUAACACCUGUGAACUGUCUGUCAAGAACAAGGCUUCGGCUUUGGACUUGUACACUUUACCAAACUUUACUCUGUAAAAAAUGUCAUCUUAUUAUAAACUAAUAAAACUUUUAACAACGGAUCUCUUGGCUCUCGCAUCGAUGAAGAACGCAGCGAAAUGCGAUAAGUAAUGUGAAUUGCAGAAUUCAGUGAAUCAUCGAAUCUUUGAACGCAAAUUGCGCUCCUUGGUAUUCCGAGGAGCAUGCCUGUUUGAGUGUCAUGAAAUCAUCCACCCUGACUUUUGGUUAGUUCCAUUGGUCUUGGCUGGGAUUUGGGCGCUUGCCUCUGAUAAAGCGGCUCGCCUUAAAAUGAUUUCGGAUUGACUCUGUCUGCAGUCGGUUUGACUUGGCGUUAUAAGUUAUUUCGCUAAGGACAUCUUCGGAUGGCCGAUCAAUGACAGCUGUCUUGUGCUGCGUGUGUCUCACACUACCAGUGCGCUCCAUCUUUUGACAUCUGGCCUCAAAUCAGGUAGGACUACCCGCUGAACUUAAGCAUAUCAAUAAGCGGAGGAAAAGAAACUAACAAGGAUUCCCCUAGUAACGGCGAGUGAAGCGGGAAGAGCUCAAAUUUGAAAUCUGGCUGCCUUCGGUAGUCCGAGUUGUAAUCUAGAGAAGUGUUUUCCGUGCUGGCCCAUGUACAAGUCCCUUGGAACAGGGCGUCAUAGAGGGUGAGAAUCCCGUACUUGACAUGGACUCCCAGUGCUCUGUGAUACAUUUUCAAAGAGUCGAGUUGUUUGGGAAUGCAGCUCAAAAUGGGUGGUAAAUUCCAUCUAAAGCUAAAUAUUGGCGAGAGACCGAUAGCGAACAAGUACCGUGAGGGAAAGAUGAAAAGCACUUUGGAAAGAGAGUUAAACAGUAUGUGAAAUUGUUAAAAGGGAAACGAUUGAAGUCAGUCGUGCGUUUUGGACUCAGCCGGUUCUGCCGGUGUACUUCCAAUUCGCGGGGUCAACAUCAGUUUUGCUCGGUGGAAAAGGGCUGGAGGA